rnacentral:tRNA from 1 species
GGAGUUGCGGCUCAGCGGUAGAGCGCUCGCCUAACGUGUGGGAGACUCUGAGUUCGAUCCUCAGCACUGCA